rnacentral:rRNA from 1 species
AGUGAACGCUGGCGGUAGGCCUAACACAUGCGAGUCGAACGGCAGCACAGUAAGAGCUUGCUCUUACGGGUGGCGAGUGGCGGACGGGUGAGGAAUACAUCGGAAUCUACUUUUUCGUGGGGGAUAACGUAGGGAAACUUACGCUAAUACCGCAUAAGACCUACGGGUGAAAGCAGGGGAUAUUCGGACCUUGCGCGAUUGAAUGAGCCGAUGUCGGAUUAGCUCGUUGGCGGGGUAAAGGCCCACCAAGGCGACGAUCCGUAGCUGGUCUGAGAGGAUGAUCAGCCACACCGGAACUGAGACACGGUCCAGACUCCUACGGGAGGCAGCAGUGGGGAAUAUUGGACAAUGGGCGCAAGCCUGAUCCAGCCAUACCGCGUGGGUGAAGAAGGCCUUCGGGUUGUAAAGCCCUUUUGUUGGGAAAGAAAAGCAGCAGGUUAAUACCCCGCUGUUCUGACGGUACCCAAAGAAUAAGCACCGGCUAACUUCGUG